UGUAAGCCACUAACUUCUAAUAAUGCACCUUUAUUCCAAAAAGAUGUAUCAGACUCAAAAAAACCAAGUAACAAACUCCAUAAACCAGGUUUGGAGUUUUACAUUCAGUUUCCUUCAAAAUCAAAUAAAAAGACAGAAAACAAAAAACAAAACAAAAAACUAACAAGCAGAUCACUUAUGUCUCAUAGAUCCACACACUUGCAAACAAAUAUUGAAUACCAUCAUAACAUCAAAAGCAUGAGAGAUAUCAGAAACAUGUAG